GGGGCCGACUGGUUUUGACAGCGGGUCUAAUUGUACAGUAAGCAUGUCGAGCGCUGGAAUACAGCUCGUAAAUCUCAUAUUUCACACUUUUUAAACGGCGAGAAUAACUACGCCCUAGCUGCAUAAUCUGAAUUAUAGUAGGAUAAUGCCUCGGUCCGCAAGGCGGACAAGCAGGAAGUCACUCGAAGGCCUUGGUUUGCGGCAAUCGAUAUAGUGGCUUCGUAAAAGUAAACCUAGAUAUCGCAGUGCUUUGAUGCGAUCUCGAAACUCAAUUAAAGCUAAGCCGUGCGUUGGUUGUUUUCGACCGGCAAUCAGACGAAAAUCUUAACGAAAACUAAACAUGUAGAAAGCGGUAUGGUUGCGCGUUUGGACGAGGGUUCGAAUCCCUCCGGCUCCACGA
rnacentral:tmRNA from 1 species